UCCGGUUUAACACCGGCAGUCCCUUUAGAGUGCCCAACUUAAUGGUGGCAACUAAAGGCAAGGGUUGCGCUCGUUGCGGGACUUAACCCAACAUCCUACGACACGAGCUGACGACAGCCAUGCAGCACUUGUCUCGGAGUCCCCGAAGGGAAAGCCGUAUCUCUACGGAUAUCUCCGGAUGUCAAGACCAGGUAAGGUUCUGCGCGUUGCUUCGAAUUGAACCACAUACUCCACCGCUUGUGCGGGCCCCCGUCAAUUCCUUUGAGUUUCAACCUUGCGGCCGUACUUCCCAGGCGGAAUACUUAAUGCGUUAGCUUUGAUACUCAGAGGGUUAACUCUCCGAACAUCUAGUAUUCAUCGUUUAAGGCGUGGACUAC
rnacentral:misc_RNA from 1 species